rnacentral:ncRNA from 2 species
CGUAGGUGACCUGCGGAAGGAUCAUUACUGAAUUGUCAAACGGGUUGUUGCUGGCCCUCAUAGGGGGCAUGUGCACGCUCUGUUUACACAUCCACUCACACCUGUGCACCCUCUGUAGUUCUAUGGUCUGGGGGACCCUGUCUUCCUUCUGUGGUUCUACGUCUCUACACACACACUGUAAUAAAGUUUUAUGGAAUGUACAUCGCGUCUAACGCAAUACAAUACAACUUUCAGCAACGGAUCUCUUGGCUCUCGCAUCGAUGAAGAACGCAGCGAAAUGCGAUAAGUAAUGUGAAUUGCAGAAUUCAGUGAAUCAUCGAAUCUUUGAACGCACCUUGCGCCCCUUGGCUAUUCCGAGGGGCAUGCCUGUUUGAGUAUCAUGAACACCUCAACUCUCAUGGUUUGCCAUGAUGAGUUGGACUCUGGGGGUUUUGCUGGCCUGUGGUCGGCUCCUCUCAAAUUAAUCAGCCUCCCAGUGUUUGGUGGCAUCACGGGUGUGAUAAAUAUCUACGCUCGCUGUUGUCUGCCAGGUAACCUUUGGUCACAAAGGUUUGCUGGAGCUCACAGAUGUCUCUCCUCAGCGAGGACAGCUUUUUUAACGUUCGAUCUCAAAUCAGGUAGGACUACCCGCUGAACUUAAGCAUAUA